CCUACGGGAGGCAGCAGUGAGGAAUAUUGGUCAAUGGAGGAAACUCUGAACCAGCCAAGUAGCGUGAAGGAUGACGGCCCUAUGGGUUGUAAACUUCUUUUAUGUGGGAAUAAAAUGUUCCACGUGUGGGUUUUUGUAUGUACCCUAUGAAUAAGGAUCGGCUAACUCCGUGCCAGCAGCCGCGGUAAUACUGAGGAUCCGAGCGUUAUCCGGUUUUAUUGGGUUUAAAGUGAGCGUAAGUGGAUUGUUAAGUAAGUUGUGAAAGUGUGCGGCUCAAACGUAAAAUUGCAGUUGAAACUGGCAGUCUUGAGUGCAGUAGAGGUAGGCGGAAUUCGUGGUGGAGCGGUGAAAUGCUUAGAUAUCACGAAGAACUCCGAUUGCGAAGGCGGCUUACUGGACUGCAACUGACACUGAGGCUCGAAAGUGUGGGUAUCAAACAGGAUUAGAUACCCGAGUAGUC
rnacentral:rRNA from 1 species